UCCCUGGUAGUCCAGUAGUUGGGACUCUGUGCUUCCACUUCAAGGGCAUGGGUUCAAUCCCUGGUCAGGGAA
rnacentral:tRNA from 1 species